rnacentral:rRNA from 1 species
UACGUAGGGUGCAAGCGUUGUCCGGAAUUAUUGGGCGUAAAGAGCUCGUAGGCGGUCUGUCGCGUCUGCUGUGAAAACUCAGGGCUUAACCCUGAGCUUGCAGUGGGUACGGGCAGACUAGAGUGCGGUAGGGGAGACUGGAAUUCCUGGUGUAGCGGUGAAAUGCGCAGAUAUCAGGAGGAACACCGGUGGCGAAGGCGGGUCUCUGGGCCGUAACUGACACUGAGGAGCGAAAGCAUGGGGAGCGAACAGG